CACUUAAAGUGAAGUUCACUCAUAAAAUGUGUCCGUCAUAAUAACGUUACAGGCUAUGCUACGCCAUACAUACCAACCCUUCCGAUUUUUCCGUGAGAAUCCCGAAUUUCAGGAGGACCCGGCCCACUUAGAUCGCGAAGGCAAGGUCCUCAGGUGGACACAACCUCUGAAUUUGGACACCCCUGGCCUGUUUCUGGCCGGACAAUAAUAACAGUGACAUUUAACUUAUUUUAUCCGAUAAAUAAACACUGUAAGAUUCAAGUUUUUUUUGUAUAUAUAUGUAUAUGUAUAUGUAUACACUGAUAAAAGCUAUUUUGGAGAGAGGUAUAUAUAAUCUAUGCAAAUCAUGUAAGAUUUACUCUAUUAUUGCACUCAGCCAAGGAAUUAUACAGUAAUGGGUUAAUUAUAUCCUUUUCCUAAGAGUAACGACAUUACAUUAAAAAAUGCAGUAAAAUAUACCCCCAAACCGUGAGUCUUAUGUUCCUAAUUGCGCAUGCGCCAGACCGCGCUUUUUGACUGAGCGGGACAGCAAGCAAAUUCUGGGUCCUUUCUUCAGCUUCCAUCAAACCCGAUCGAACCACAGAAGUGAAGGUCCUCACGUGUGUCCUUUACACGCAGAGGCUUGCUGAUCGACGACACUGUUACCAGUUCUAGGGCUGACGCACCCACCCACGUCCCCACCCCCGGUGUAUCCUUUACAGCGUAUGCGUGCCAAAGGAGGAGCUGCUGGUUCCAAGAUGAGACCUUUGCUGGACACUUUGAAAGAUCUCCCUACAGACACAGAGCAUUGAGAAGAAAAGGGAUCUUCUUAUCUGCUACCUCGGGGAAAGACAAGAAGAUCUUUUUCAUGACUGCCAGGAAUGUGAGGAUUACACAGACAAUAUGAUGAAGGUGAUCGUGAUCCACAACAUCAUGGCUGAGGAGGAUCCAUCAGAUGUGUUCAUUGUGAUUGAGGGAAACCAAGUGAUGGAGGGAUGUGGAAGCCGAACAAAGGCAUGUGUACAACUGAUGGGACUGAUAUAUGCCCUCAACCUCGAAUAUCCGAAGGAGCUGAAGAACACAUUUGACACUUUUCAAAAACUGUUUUUGGAACUUGACUGGGCGAAACCACUGAACAAGGUCCACGGCCUCAAAAAUAAGCUUAUGCAAUGCACACACAUUUCCCCUCUUGUUCCCAGAGGAUCUUUUGUCCAGACAUAGCUUGAUGGAGCUGUAAUUUUUCUUCUGACAGCAACCACAGAAACUAUUGAAUGUUGGUGUUAGUGUUCUGUUCUAUUUAUACAUAUGUUUGAUAACGUACAUGCACAGAAACAACCUUGUAGAGUUUCUGUGCUUUUGGCUUUUAAAAUGGACUAAGUGGCCUUUGAAAGUGUUGUCUGCAUUAGCUGUUGUGUUGCACUUUAUUCUGUGUUUUUAUGGAAUAAAAACAUUGAGAUGAUGAA